UACGGAGGGAGCUAGCGUUGUUCGGAAUCACUGGGCGUAAAGCGUCUGUAGGUGGUUCAAUAAGUCAACUGUUAAAUCUUGAGGCUCAACUUCAAAAUCGCAGUCGAAACUAUUGGACUCGAGUAUAGUAGGGGUAAAGGGAAUUUCCAGUGGAGCGGUGAAAUGCGUAGAGAUUGGAAAGAACACCAAUGGCGAAAGCACUUUACUGGGCUAUUACUGACACUGAGAGACGAAAGCUAGGGUAGCAAAUGGG
rnacentral:rRNA from 1 species